UGGAUCCAAAGUUACAGGAUGUGCCUAUAUCCCCAGGACCUCCUCCUACACCCCCUACACCAGUGCUAACCCCUCCAGGGCCACUUGGCUCUGACAAUGAGGAGCAGGAAGAUCCUGGUGAUUACUGUAGAGGAGGAUACUAUCC